rnacentral:rRNA from 1 species
CAGGUCUGUGAUGCCCUUAGAUGUCCUGGGCCGCACGCGUGCUACACUGACGCAUACAGCGAGUACUUCCCCGCUCCGCGAGGCAGCGGGUAAUCAGCAAUAUGCGUCGUGAUGGGGAUAGAUCUUUGCAAUUAUAGAUCUUGAACGAGGAAUUCCUAGUAGGCGCAAGUCAUUACCUUGCGCCGAUUAAGUCCCUGCCCUUUGUACACACCGCCCGU